rnacentral:rRNA from 1 species
GGACGAACGCUGGCGGCGUGCUUAACCCAUGCAAGUCGAACGGAAAGGCCCUGCUUUUGUGGGGUGCUCGAGUGGCGAACGGGUGAGUAACACGUGAGUAACCUGCCCUUGACUUUGGGAUAACUUCAGGAAACUGGGGCUAAUACCGGAUAGGAGCUCCUGCUGCAUGGUGGGGGUUGGAAAGUUUCGGCGGUUGGGGAUGGACUCGCGGCUUAUCAGCUUGUUGGUGGGGUAGUGGCUUACCAAGGCUUUGACGGGUAGCCGGCCUGAGAGGGUGACCGGCCACAUUGGGACUGAGAUACGGCCCAGACUCCUACGGGAGGCAGCAGUGGGGAAUAUUGCACAAUGGGCGGAAGCCUGAUGCAGCAACGCCGCGUGCGGGAUGACGGCCUUCGGGUUGUAAACCGCUUUCGCCUGUGACGAAGCGUGAGGGACGGUAAUGGGUAAAGAAGCACCGGCGAACUACGU